rnacentral:rRNA from 1 species
UCCAAGGAAGGCAGCAGGCGCGCAAAUUACCCACUCCCGGCACGGGGAGGUAGUGACGAAAAAUAACAAUACGGGACUCUUUUGAGGCCCCGUAAUUGGAAUGAGUACACUCUAAAUCCUUUAACGAGGAUCCAUUGGNGGGCAAGUCUGGUGCCAGCAGCCGCGGUAAUNCCAGCUCCAAUAGCGUAUAUUAAAGUNGUUGCGGUUAAAAAGCUCGUAGUUGGAUCUCAGUUCGAGGCUGGCGGUCCGCCGUUAGGUGGUUACUGCCAGGACUCAACAUCCUGCCGGUUUUCCCUUGGUGCUCUUCGCUGAGUGUCUCGGGUGCCCGGCACGUUUACUUUGAAAAAAUUAGAGUGCUCAAAGCAGGCGUUUAGCCUGAAUAAUGGUGCAUGGAAUAAUGAAAUAGGAUCUCGGUUCUAUUUUGUUGGUUUUCGGAACACGAGGUAAUGAUUAAAAGGGACAGACGGGGGCAUUCGUAUUGCGACGCUAGAGGUGAAAUUCUUGGACCGUCGCAAGACGAACUACUGCGAAAGCAUUUGCCAAGAAUGUUUUCAUUAAUCAAGAACGAAAGUUAGAGGUUCGAAGGCGAUCAGAUACCGCCCUAGUUCUAACCAUAAACGAUGCCAACCAGCAAUCCGCCUGAGUUCCUCAAAUGACUCGGCGGGCAGCUUCCGGGAAACCAAAGUGUUUGGGUUCCGGGGGAAGUAUGGUUGCNAAGCUGAAACUUAAAGGAAUUGACGGNAGGGCACCACCAGGAGUGGAGCCUGCGGCUU